rnacentral:rRNA from 1 species
AGUGAACGCUUGCGGUAUGCCUAACACAUGCAAUUCGAACGGCAGCACAGUAAGAGCUUGCUCUUACGGGUGGCGAGUGGCGAACGUGUGAAGAAUACAUCGUAAUCUACUUUUUCUUGGGGGAUAACGUAGAGAAACUUACGCUAAUACCUCAUACGACCUACGGUUUAAAGCAAUGGCUCUUCGGACCUUGCUCGAUUUAGUGAGCCGAUGUCGGAUUAGCUAGUUGGCGGGGUAAAGGCCCACCAAGGCGACGAGCCGUAGCUGAUCUGAGAGGAUGAUCAGUCACACUGGAACUGAGACACGGUCCAGACUCCUACGGGAGGCAGGAGUGGGGAAUAUGGGACAAUGGGCGCAAGCCUGAUCCAGCCAGACCGCGUGGGUGAAGAAGGCCUUCGGGUUGUAAAGCUCUUUUGUUGGGAAAGAAAAGCAGUAGGUUAAUACGCCGCUGUUCUGACGGGACCCAAAGAAUAAGCACCGGCUAACUUCGUG